GACGAACGCUGGCGGCGUGCUUAACACAUGCCAGUCGAACGGUGAAGCGCCUUCCUUUUUGGUGGGUGUGGAUGAGUGGCGAACGGGUGAGUAACACGUGAGUAACCUGCCCCCUUCUUCUGGAUAACCGCAUGAAAGUGUGGCUAAUACGGGAUAUUCUGGGUCUGUCGCAUGAUGGGUCUGGGAAAGAUAUUGUUUCGGUGGGGGAUGGGCUCGCGGCCUAUCAGCUUGUUGGUGGGGUGAUGGCCUACCAAGGCGGUGACGGGUAGCCGGCCUGAGAGGGUGGACGGUCACACUGGGACUGAGGCACGGCCCAGACUCCUACGGGAGGCAGCAGUGGGGAAUAUUGCACAAUGGGCGCAAGCCUGAUGCAGCGACGCCGCGUGAGGGAUGGAGGCCUUCGGGUUGUGAACCUCUUUCGCCAGUGAAGCAGGCCUGCCUCGUUUGUGGGUGGGUUGACGGUAGCUGGAUAAGAAGCGCCGGCUAACUACGUG
rnacentral:rRNA from 1 species